GCUGGCCACUGCUUUGGGGCAUUUAUCGCCAAGGCUAGGGCAGGGCUCGACCUCACUGUCAUGAGCAGCCUCAAGCUCUGGUUUCUUUCCCUAGCCGACGAUGCCUGUUCGAGGGAGGUUAGGACAGCAACACUGAUGGCCAGUAGCAUUCAUCCGAGAGGAGUUUAUGGAAUUGGAUUAAUUCUUGAAGGCAGUGGCUUCGCUUGG